rnacentral:lncRNA from 1 species
UGAGUUCCUAUUCUAAGGCCUAUGUAUUGGUCGUGAACUAGAUUGACCCUUCUUGAUUGCUUGGUGAAUUGGAGUAGAAUUUUAAAGGGGAUAUUCAGUUCCAGGUAUGUAUGGCUAACUUUGAUCCUUGUGAAAUCGCCCUGUGUUGGUGUAUGAAAGCUUGAUAUUUGAUAUCCAUGUGGGGUUAUGGUGAAACGCUUAUGAUUUAUAAUUGUGUGAUAACAUCUUGUGGCAAAAGUUGAGGAACACGUGAUUGAAGGGAAUCUUUAAAUGGUAAAAUCAGAAUUAUUGUGGUAACAACGUAUAUGAUUGGUUUCAGAUGUCUGUUGUUGUAACUCAGAUUGUGUACGAAUUGGUGAACAUGAGGAAAUUGUUGUUGUUAGUUGUGGAAAUACUUUACUCCUUGUUAUGGUUACAUCUCAACAAUGUGCUAUAGUUGAUUUCUUGUAAUUGUUGUUGUAUUGUAUGUUGUUUGUAGACUGAAACUUUCGGGCAUGGUCGGGUUGUGCGCCGCAACACGGUGAAAUAAGGUUUGGGAUGGUGCGAUAAGGGUGGUCGAGGUAAUAAGGAUGACCGAGGUAAUAAGGGUGGCCGAGGUAAUAAGGGUGACCGAGGUAAUAAGGGUGGAAAAGGGAUCCAAUAUCACUAUUGAAAUGAACAGAAAUUAUGAAAUUAUCAAUGUGGAAUUGUGAAAGG